rnacentral:rRNA from 1 species
GGGCCCGCACAAGCGGUGGAGCAUGUGGUUCAAUUCGACGCAACGCGAAGAACCUUACCUGGGCUCGAACGGCUCACGACCGGUCGUGGAAACAUGGCCUUCCCGCAAGGGACGGGAGUCGAGGUGCUGCAUGGCUGUCGUCAGCUCGUGUCGUGAGAUGUUGGGUUAAGUCCCGCAACGAGCGCAACCCUCGUCCUGUGUUGCUACUCCGCAAGGAGGCACUCUCAGGAGACCGCCGGCGAUAAGCUGGAGGAAGGUGGGGAUGACGUCAAGUCAUCAUGGCCUUUAUGUCCAGGGCUACACACGUGCUACAAUGGACGGUACAGACCGCCGCAAACCCGCGAGGGGGAGCAAAUCGGAAAAAACCGUUCUCAGUUCGGAUCGCAGGCUGCAACUCGCCUGCGUGAAGCUGGAAUCGCUAGUAAUGGCGUAUCAGAACGAUGCCGUGAAUACGUUCCCGGGCCUU